rnacentral:rRNA from 1 species
CGCAAGCGUUAUCCGGAGUUACUGGGCGUAAAGCGCGGGCAGGCGGUUCUGCCAGUCUGAUGUGAAAUCUCCUCGCUCAACGGGGAGCAGCCAUUGGAAACUACAGAACUGGAGUCUGACAGAGGUAGGCGGAAUUCCGGGUGGAGUGGUGAAAUGCGUAGAGAUCCGGAGGAACACCAGAGGCGAAGGCGGCCUACUGGGUCAGUACUGACGCUGAGCCGCGAAAGCCAGGGGAGCGAACGGG